UACGUAGGCAGCGAGCGUUGUUCGGAGUUACUGGGCGUAAAGAGUGCGUAGGCGGUUUUCUAAGUUUGGUGUGAAAUCUCCCGGCUUAACUGGGAGGGUGCGCCGAAAACUGGAAGGCUUGAGUAUGGGAGAGGUAAGCGGAAUUCCUGGUGUAGCGGUGAAAUGCGUAGAUAUCAGGAGGAAUACCGGUGGUGUAGACGGCUCUCUGGACCGCCACUGACGCUGAGACACGAAAGCGUGGGUAGCAAACAGG
rnacentral:rRNA from 1 species